UACGGGGGGGGCAAGCGUUGUUCGGAAUUACUGGGCGUAAAGGGCGUGUAGGUGGCCAACUAAGUCCGACGUGAAAUCCCCAGGCUUAACCUGGGAACUGCGUCGGAUACUGGAUGGCUUGAAUCCGGGAGAGGGAUGCGGAAUUCCAGGUGUAGCGGUGAAAUGCGUAGAUAUCAAGAGGAACACCUGCGGCGAAGGCGGGUUGCUGGGCCGACACUGACGCUGAGGCGCGAAAGCCAGGGGAGCGAACGGG
rnacentral:rRNA from 1 species